rnacentral:sRNA from 1 species
CAUUCCCCGGGCUGCUGAAGGUGGGGAUCACGCCUCGCGCUGGUGACCCUGGCCGAGGAGCGGGAGAUAGUCUGAUCCCUAACGGCGCCCUCCAGGAGCCGGACUUGCUGCCGCCACUUCCUGCUGGCCCAGCUCGGGGACGGGCGCCACGUGGUGCUGGGCGAGGACAGCGCCCACGCGCGGCUGCAGGACCUGCUGCGGCACUACACGGCGCACCCGCUCAGCCCCUACGGGGAGACGCUCACCGAGCCCCUCGCCCGACAGACUCCUGAGCCUGCAGGACUUUCCCUGAGGACCGAAGAAUCAAACUUUGGAAGCAAAAGCCAGGACCCAAACCCCCAGUACAGCCCAAUCAUCAAACAGGGGCAAGCCCCAGUCCCGAUGCAGAAAGAGGGGGCCGGGGAGAAGGAGCCCUCCCAGCUGCUCAGGCCCAAGCCUCCCAUCCCCGCCAAACCUCAGCUGCCCCCAGAAGUCUACACAAGCCCUGUUUCACGACACCGCCCGGCCCCACCCCCAAGCCCUCCAAUCCUAUUUACAACGAGCCUGAUGAACCCAUAGCUUUCUAUGCCAUGGGCCGGGGAAGCCCCGGGGAAGCCCCCAGCAAUAUCUAUGUGGAAGUGGAAGAUGAGGGCCUACCCGCCACCCUUGGGCACCCUGUCCUACGGAAGAGCCGGUCCAGGCCUGUCCCAGGAGGCCAG